rnacentral:lncRNA from 1 species
CUCUUUGACUUUCAUUAAAAGCAAUAUGUGGAGAGAACUGAGCCAACUCAGUGAAAUGAUGAUCAUAUUCCAUUACAGUUCUAUUUCCUUGGUGGAUGCUAAGGAACUCUUGUUGUUUCUCAAAGCGAACUGAAUUAGGAAAGAACUGCUCAUAAAAUGCAUCUUUAAACUGCUCCCAAGUUACCACAUUACCUCCAGCCUCUAACAUCCUCCUUUUUGAGGUCCACCAAGUGUCUGCCUUCCCUUCCAAAAUGAAAGAAGCAAAAGGCACUUUCUGAUUUUCCCUACAUUCGAUAGCUUCGAAUGUCUUUUCCACUUGACGAAUCCAACGUUCAGCAAAGAUUGG